UACAUGGGGUGCAAACGUUGCUCGGAAUUAUUGGGCGUAAAGCGCACGUAGGCGGUUCGUUAAGUCGGAUGUGAAAGCCCUCGGCUCAACUGAGGAAGUGCACCCGAAACUGGCGAGCUUGAGUACGAAAGAGGAUCGCGGAAUUCCCGGUGUAGAGGUGAAAUGCGUAGAUAUCGGAAGGAACACCAGUGGCGAAGGCGGCUUACUGGUCCGGUUCUGACGCUGAGGCGCGAAAGCGUGGGGAGCAAACAGG
rnacentral:rRNA from 1 species